rnacentral:rRNA from 1 species
UACGUAGGGACCAAGCGUUGUCCGGAAUCGUUGGGCGUAAAGAGCGUGUAGGCGGCUUGUUAAGUCUUGCGUGAAAUCUCGGGGCUCAACCCCCGAGCGGUCGUGAGAAACUGGCAGGCUAGAGUGCGGGAGAGGAGAGUGGAAUUCCUGGUGUAGCGGUGAAAUGCGUAGAGAUCAGGAAGAACAUCGGUGGCGAAGGCGCUCUGCUGGACCAUAACUGACACUCAGGGACGAAAGCUAGGGGAGCGAAUGGG